GCUUUCAAGGGACACAGCUCUUUAGGAGGACAUUAAAGAACAAGCAGGCUCUGUCCCAGGCCUGGAAUCUAUCCUGGACCAGACACUGGACUAACUUCCACGUCUCCUUGGUAAAAUGGAUUGAUAAGGAUUCGAUUAGCAGGAAAUGUAAAAAGCCUAGAGUGUUGCAGAGCAGAGAGGUUUCUUUGUGCAACAAAUCCUGGCCUGGAAAUCAGAGAUCCACCUACCUACCUGCCUCUGCUUCAAGUGCUGUGAUUAAAGGCUCGGCUUUGGCCCUCUUUUUAAAAAUAACUUUUUUAGAUUAUAAUAUAAUUACAUCAGUUCCCUCUUCCAUUCCAAGCCCUUUCACAUAUCCCCCUUGCUCUCUUUCAAAUUUAUAGCCUCUUUUUCUUUAUUACAUAUAUACACACAUAUAUAUUUAAUCGUCUGAUUCUGUAUAAUGUUGCUUGCAUGUAUAUUAUUUCAUGGCUGACCACUAGGUAAGUAGUUGAUGUGUUUUCCAUCUGUUGCAAAGAGUUCUCCUGGUGAGGGGUGUGGACUACACUAAUCUGGCUGGACCCUGGACAAGGAUGUCUGCUCCUCUUGAUUUGCACAGUUUUGCGGGUCUUCUGCUCAAAAGAACAGUGAACCGUUUUUGCAGGUCGCCUCACACUGCUCACUAAAGUAGCCUCUUGGACUUUUAACAAAGACACUCAAUGGACAUCUAUUUUUUGUUCACAUCAUGCCAGGCUUGGAUUUUUCUUCUUUGCCAACACCAUCAUCGAUAGCCAAGGAUGGUGACUCACACCUGUAAUCCCAGAACUCAGGGUGCUGAGGCAGGAGUAUCAGUGGUCACAGGGGUCCAGACACAGCUCCAGCACAUGUGCACAGGUGCCCUCCAAAGCUGGAUGAACUGGAGUUCCAGGCAGCCGUGAGUCACCCGGUGUGGGCGCUUAACUGCGGAGCCACCUCUCCAGCCUCACAGUUAAUGUCUGUGCUGUUCUCGGGUCUCAGCUGGCAAGAAGCUUCAGCCAGAAUCCAGGGUAAAGUGUGCCUUUCUUUUUCAUGUCCCAUAAUUUUCUCCUUCUUAUCCUGCCUUAGGAAGAUACUCAAAGUUUAAAGGCAGCUUGGGCUAC